rnacentral:lncRNA from 1 species
CGGUUUCGUCAAGCUCGCGGCCGUGGUUCCCGGUGCGGCGCCGCGGCGGCCCGCAGCAGUGCGUGUCAGCUGAUGGCCGCGCCGCGUGUCCGCCGCCGCGCCGGCGGCUCAGUCUGUCAGUGAGCGCGCAACCGACGCGACGUCGCUCGCGCACCGUGCCCCGCGCGACCUCCUAGUGCAGUGUGUCCGCUGUGCGGCUCCAGUGCAGUGUGUGUCAGUCGGUGUGGUGAGCAGCAGCGCAGGCGCAGGCGGCCGCGGGACACCGCACCGCGAGGCCGGUCCUCGUCCACCAGGCACCUCACAGGGAGGCGUGCUAGCGUGAAUCGCUGCAGGGCAGCGACGCAGCGGGCGGCAUGGUGAGCGUAGGCAGCACGCGCGCAUGAAGAAGUUCGUGCGAACGCGCGGCGCGCAGUCGCCGCAACGCCUGCCCAACGGACAUGCGCCCGCGCACACCAACGGACACGCCAAUGGCACGGGCGGCGCGGCGCUCGCAAGGCACCGGGACGACCAGCACUCCACGCUCUCCAGGUACACUG